UCUCGUAGUCUCCUGUCGUAAGUGUAACGCAGUGUCCGGCGUUUUUGUGUGAUACUUUGUGUGUGUGUGUCACUUUAUGUGUGACUGACUUCUUUGAGGAUCUCUGUCAUCGCAUGUUUGUGAAAGCAUGGUAUUGCGAGACUUCUCAAGACCGAGAUUGAUACGCAGCAAGCUAGGACAGGUUGUACCCCAAACGCAAGAUUUCAUGAAUACCAGAACAAAAACCGAGAGCGACUGACCCCCCAACGACAUCAAGCACUCUCAGAAAAAAGG